UGCGGGGUGGUGUAAUGGUAGCACAGGUUCCUUUGAAGAACUCAAUCUAGGUUCGAAUCCUAGCCCCGCAG
rnacentral:tRNA from 1 species